rnacentral:rRNA from 1 species
CUGUGCCUACGGGGCGCAGCAGUGAGGAAUAUUGGUCAAUGGACGAGAGUCUGAACCAGCCAAGUAGCGUGAAGGAUGACUGCCCUAUGGGUUGUAAACUUCUUUUAUAUGGGAAUAAAAUGUUCCACGUGUGGGAUUUUGUAUGUACCAUAUGAAUAAGGAUCGGCUAACUCCGUGCCAGCAGCCGCGGUAAUACGGAGGAUCCGAGCGUUAUCCGGAUUUAUUGGGUUUAAAGGGAGCGUAGGUGGAUAGUUAAGUCAGUUGUGA